AUUGAACGCUGGCGGCAGGCUUAACACAUGCAAGUCGAGCGUCCCGCAAGGGGAGCGGCAGACGGGUGAGUAACGCGUGGGAACGUGCCCUUUGGUUCGGAACAACUUCAGGAAACUGGAGCGAAUACCGGAUAAGCCCUUCGGGGGAAAGAUUUAUCGCCAAAGGAUCGGCCCGCGUCUGAUUAGCUAGUUGGUGAGGUAAUGGCUCACCAAGGCGACGAUCAGUAGCUGGUCUGAGAGGAUGAUCAGCCACACUGGGACUGAGACACGGCCCAGACUCGUACGGGAGUCAGCAGUGGGGAAUAUUGGACAAUGGACGCGAGCCUUCUCCAGCCAUGCCGCGUGAGUGAUGAAGGCCUUAUAGUUGUAAAGCUCUUUUGUCGGGGAAGAUACUUACUGUACCGGAAGAAUAAGCCCCGGCUAACUUCGUGCCAGCCGCCGCAGUAU
rnacentral:rRNA from 1 species